rnacentral:rRNA from 1 species
GAUGAACGCUGGCGGCGUGCCUAAUACAUGCAAGUCGAGCGAACGGACGAGAAGCUUGCUUCUCUGAUGUUAGCGGCGGACGGGUGAGUAACACGUGGAUAACCUACCUAUAGGACUGGGAUAACUUCGGGAAACCGGAGCUAAUACCGGAUAAUAUUUUGAACCGCAUGGUUCAAAAGUGAAAGACGGUCUUGCUGUCACUUAUAGAUGGAUCCGCGCUGCAUUAGCUAGUUGGUAAGGUAACGGCUUACCAAGGCAACGAUGCAUAGCCGACCUGAGAGGGUAAUCGGCCACACUGGAACUGAGACACGGUCCAGACUCCUACGGGAGGCAGCAGUAGGGAAUCUUCCGCAAUGGGCGAAAGCCUGACGGAGCAACGCCGCGUGAGUGAUGAAGGUCUUCGGAUCGUAAAACUCUGUUAUUAGGGAAGAACAUAUGUGUAAGUAACUGGGCACAUCUUGACGGUACCUAAUCAGAAAGCCACGGCUAACUACGUGC